rnacentral:rRNA from 1 species
UUCAUGGAGAGUUUGAUCCUGGCUCAGGACGAACGCUGGCGGCGUGCCUAAUACAUGCAAGUCGAGCGGACAGAUGGGAGCUUGCUCCCUGAUGUUAGCGGCGGACGGGUGAGUAACACGUGGGUAACCUGCCUGUAAGACUGGGAUAACUCCGGGAAACCGGGGCUAAUACCGGAUGCUUGUUUGAACCGCAUGGUUCAAAUAUAAAAGGUGGCUUUUAGCUACCACUUACAGAUGGACCCGCGGCGCAUUAGCUAGUUGGUGAGGUAACGGCUCACCAAGGC